UACGUAGGUGGCAAGCGUUAUCCGGAUUUACUGGGUGUAAAGGGCGUGUAGGCGGGGAAGCAAGUCAGAUGUGAAAUUCCAGGGCUCAACCCUGGAACUGCAUUUGAAACUGUUUUUCUUGAGUGAUGGAGAGGCAGGCGGAAUUCCCCGUGUAGCGGUGAAAUGCGUAGAGAUGGGGAGGAACACCAGUGGCGAAGGCGGCCUGCUGGACAGUAACUGACGUUGAGGCUCGAAAGCGUGGGGAGCAA
rnacentral:rRNA from 1 species